GGUGAGAUGGCCGAGUUGGUUAUGGCGCCAGGUUAAGGUCACCUUAACACCAAAUUCCUGGUAGGGAAACCUGCGUGGGUUCGAGUCCCACUCUCAUCA
rnacentral:tRNA from 1 species